GGGGCCGUGCUGCUUUUGCGCGCCCGGCCGCGUACCCGGCGUGGCUCCAGUCUCCGCCCAGUCGUAGGCGCUGGCCGCUGACAUGUUGAGGACGACGCGCGGCCCAGGCCUGGGCCCCCAGCUGCUCCAGGCCGCGCUGGGCCUCGGGCGGGCUGGGUGGCAAUGGCCUGCGAGCCGGGCGGCGAGCGGGGGGCGCGGGCGGGCCUGGCUGCAGCCCACGGGCCGGGAGACGGGUGUGCAGGUGUACAACAGCCUCACCGGGAGGAAGGAACCCCUAAUCGUGGCGCACGCCGAAGCCGCCUCCUGGUAUAGCUGCGGACCAACUGUAUAUGAUCAUGCGCACCUUGGCCAUGCUUGCUCAUAUGUUAGAUUCGAUAUCAUUCGAAGGAUCCUAACCAAGGUUUUUGGAUGCAACAUAGUCAUGGUGAUGGGUAUUACAGAUGUAGAUGAUAAAAUCAUCAAAAGAGCCAAUGAGAUGAAUAUUUCCCCCGCUUCCCUCGCCAGUCUUUAUGAGGAAGACUUCAAGCAGGACAUGGCAGCCCUGAAGGUUCUCCCACCCACAGUGUACCUGAGGGUAACCGAAAAUAUUCCUCAGAUAAUUUCUUUCAUUGAAGGAAUCAUUGCUCGUGGGCACGCUUAUUCAACGGCAAAAGGCAAUGUCUACUUCGAUCUGAAGGCUAGAGGAGACAAGUAUGGCAAACUGGUCGGCGUGGUCCCUGGUCCAGUCGGAGAGCCAGCGGACUCUGACAAGCGUCAUGCCAGUGACUUUGCCCUGUGGAAGGCAGCCAAACCCCAGGAGGUAUUCUGGGCCUCUCCCUGGGGACCCGGGAGGCCGGGCUGGCACAUCGAGUGCUCUGCCAUCGCUAGUAUGGUAUUUGGAAGUCAACUGGAUAUCCAUUCAGGUGGGAUAGAUUUAGCUUUUCCACAUCAUGAAAACGAAAUUGCACAGUGUGAAGUCUUUCAUCAGUGCGAGCAGUGGGGAAAUUAUUUUCUGCAUUCUGGGCAUUUGCACGUGAAAGGCAAAGAAGAAAAAAUGUCCAAAUCAUUAAAAAACUACAUUACUAUUAAGGACUUUCUGAAGACCUUUUCCCCGGAUACCUUCCGGUUCUUCUGCCUGCGGAGCAGCUACCGCUCAGCCAUCAACUACAGCGACAGCGCCAUGCUCCAAGCUCAGCAGCUGCUCCUGGGGCUGGGCUCUUUCCUGGAGGACGCACGUGCCUACAUGAAGGGGCAGCUGGCCUGCGGCUCCGUCAGGGAAGCCAUGCUGUGGGAGAGGCUCUCCAGCACCAAGAGGGCCGUGAAGGCGGCCUUGGCAGAUGACUUUGACACACCCAGGGUGAUUGAUGCCAUCCUGGGCCUUGCACACCAUGGGAACGGACAGCUCAGGGCGGCCCCGAAGGAACCUGGAGGGCCGAGAAGUCCUGCUGUGUUUGGUGCCAUCAUCUCUUACUUUGAACAGUUUUUUGAAACUGUUGGAAUUUCUCUGGCAAAUCAACGGUUGGCAAACUCUCGUGCGCAGAACCAGAGAUGAGUCCAUCUCAGCAACAGAGUGUCGCCAGCUCUGCACACACGUUUAUGUUGAAAGACUCUCAGAAUGUGCAGAAGUCACAGGCACAUGCGUUUCAGGAGACGGCAGCGAGGCCACCUUGCAUGGUGUGGUGGACGAGCUGGUGCGGUUCCGGCAGGAGGUCCGGCAGUUUGCACUGGCCAUGCCCGAGGCCACGGGGGACGCCCGGCGGCAGCAGCUCCUAGAGAGGCAGCCCUUGCUGGAGGCAUGCGACACCCUGCGCCGGGGCCUGACUGUCCACGGCAUCAACAUCAAGGACAGAAGCAGUACAACAUCCACGUGGGAACUGCUGGAUCAAAGGACAAAAGACCAAAAAUCAGCAGGCUGAGGAUGGAGCACAACCAUGAACCUGCUCACAAGACACACCCAUGCUCCUCACGGUCAAGGCUUUAUGUUAAAGCUUCCUGUCAGGGCUGCUAGGUCAGCAUUAAAGUAAGGCAACCAACAGUGUC